CAUCAACGGUCGGUCGCUGACGCGUAGGCUUGUCUUGCGUCAUUGGUUUGAUCAAACCAAUGACGCAAGACAAGCCUACGCGUCAGCGACCGACCGUUGAUCAUGA